rnacentral:rRNA from 1 species
UACGGAGGGUGCAAGCGUUAUCCGGAUUCACUGGGUUUAAAGGGUGCGUAGGCGGGCUUGUAAGUCAGUGGUGAAAGCCCGGAGCUCAACUCCGGAACUGCCUUUAAGACUGCAUCGCUUGAACGUCGGAGAGGUAAGUGGAAUUCCGAGUGUAGAGGUGAAAUUCGUAGAUAUUCGGAAGAACACCAGUGGCGAAGGCGACUUACUGGACGACUGUUGACGCUGAGGUGCGAAAGCGUGGGGAGCAAACAGG